UUGUUGGGACGGGAGGAUCCAAUUGUUUUCCUAAGAGUUAUAGUGGAUCUAAGAGGGGUGGAAGAUGUAAAAUAGCUUAUGAACUCUUCUCCUCCCAUAUGGCUUAUUGGAUAGACUUGAAACUUUGUACAAUGCUUAAUUGUCAUUUGUAGAUGUGCAUAUUGUCGGAAUGGGAGGAUCCAAAGUUUUUCCUAAAAGAUAUAGUGGAUCUAAAAGGGGUGGAGGAUGUUAAAAUACCUUGUGAACACUUCUCCUAUAUGGCUUAUCUGAUAGACUUGAGAAUUUGUACAAUGCUUCAAUGCCAUUUGUAGAUGUGUAAGUUGUAGGGACAGGAGGAUCCAAUUGCUAUCCUUAAAGUUAAAGUGGAUCUGAGGGGUGUAGGGUAUAAAAUAGUUUGUGAACGCUUCUCCUCCUAUAUGGCUUAUCAGAGGUUCAUGUCUAUCUUCCUGCCCAUGCUUUCUCCUUCAUACUAUUCAAUACAUUAAGGGGGAUGUUUCCUAUAUUUUACGAAUUAAUUGGUUGAUUGACAACAAACUUGGUACACUUGUACAGCAUAUAUAAGGAGUAGAUGACCCCUAUUGAUUCUUAGGUCACAUGGUCAGUCCACUCUUGACAUAGGAAGGUAUUGUCUGCUCAAUAUUUUGAAUUGGUGAUACUACUAUCAAUUAAAUGAGGCACGGGUAUAACCCUUUCAAUUUUGCAACUUGGGGGCAUAUGUGUUUUAGAAACAUCUCUUGUGUUGUAUUAUAUGAAUUACAGGUUUUAGUGUGCUCAGUUUAGAGAAUAGCAUAAAAGUAUUUGAUAAUUAAAUAUCUUGCAGAUUGGCAGUUUACUCCAUGCACCGACAGGAAUGAUAAACUGUGAUAUUCGUAAAUGGAACUGGGACACGUUCUAAAUAUACUCAGGGACAGAAUGAUGUGCAGCAAGGCUCGUCAUGGAUUUUACCAAAUACAGAACACUGCAAGGCUUGCAAAAUGAAGACCUCAGUAAAAAAAAUUCUAAAUUAUCCACUAAUGGCAGCUCACUACCUGCCCCUAGUGAUGUUAAAAGAGGCCGUUGUUCUCAUUUGUUCCAAAACAGGAAUGGCAUAUGAGGAGGCCAACAGAAGAUGCACCUCCACUGACCUCCACUGAGUGUGCACUCACAAAACGAAUAAAUUAUUAUUAUUUCUUUUGUUUUUAAUUGUAUAUUGUCAACAAGGUCAAAGGCACUUGAUCCGAUGCCAAACUUUUGCAUUUCUUUUGCUUUGUGGUAAAUUUUCUUCAGCAACAUUAACAUUGUUUAAAUUGUUUUCUUUGGAGAGUAUACAUGUACACAUGGAUCAUUUGUAUAUUAGAAUUAUAGCAUUGUUUAAUUCAACUCAUUCUUAUCCUAGAGAGGUUAUUA